rnacentral:rRNA from 1 species
UACGUAGGGUGCAAGCGUUGUCCGGAAUUAUUGGGCGUAAAGAGCUCGUAGGCGGUUCGUCGCGUCGGCUGUGAAAACCUGAGGCUCAACCUCAGGCCUGCAGUCGAUACGGGCGGACUUGAGUACUGCAGGGGAGACUGGAAUUCCUGGUGUAGCGGUGAAAUGCGCAGAUACCAGGAGGAAGACCGGUGGCGAAGGCGGGUCUCUGGGCAGUAACUGACGCUGAGGAGCGAAAGCGUGGGGAGCGAACAGG